GGUGGCUCAGCGAUAGAGUGCUUGCCUUGCAUGCAUGAAGCCCUGGGUUCGAUUCCUCAGCACCA
rnacentral:tRNA from 1 species